ensembl:lncRNA
GGGUAAAAUGCUGUUGCUUGUUUACUUGAGAGCAGUUGUGAAACGCAUUAUCUCUGUUUGCCAUGCCAGUCAGUGUUUGCCCUUGGCUAAGUGAAACGCGUUUUUUUUUUGUUGAUAAGCAGCGUUUCGGUCCGGUUUCCUAUGAGCGUGGACGGAAAAGUCACACAUCUGGCUCAUCAACACUGGUCCCGUGAUGGGUGGGGGGGAUGCAGGAUGGUUGUGUGAAGACCCAGAGAGCAGGAGAAAGCAAACACUGGGAACUAACUAGGUUUCAGGAGAUCUGCGCCAUGCAGGGAAUAUACUGAGGUCAAGUCCUUUUUUACCUAUCUUGAUCAUUUCGUCUGUCUUUGGUGUCAUCUCUGGUUUCUCCAACCUCCCAUUGAGGUGAUAACAAAGUAGUAAAGGAAGAAGCAUUUAUUUUGGUGAACAUCUUUCAAUAGUCUGUCUUUCAAUGGUCAGAUGUAUAGUGAUAACGUAAACAAACAAAGUCUCAAGGGAAUGAAUCCUGAUAUUCAGUAAUGCACACAUUUUAUUCACGUUAACACACCACCACAUGGUGCAGACUAUCUACUACUAUAUUGCACUCAUCGACUUCCCUGCAUUUUGGCAAUAUCUUAUCACCCUAAUUUGUGGUCGAACAUAUGUACGUAAACCGCCUGGUUUACCAUCCCCUGUGUCAACACCCAGCACUAAUCUAUCAUUGCCAGAGAGUUGGUGUUGUCAGUCUUUCUCUUUUAUGACUGGGUCUAUCUCGUCACCCGAGCUGCCAUGAGGUCUAUCUAGAAAUCCUGCGUUUGUUUAGGACAGAGCUGCUAAGAUUCUGAUGGGAAAACCCAGUUACAUAACAUCUGUCUAGAGAGGCCGACUACUGCACAUGCCCCUGAAACGUGGUCUCACGGCGAGAUUGUAUUUGUUUUAGUGUAUUAACAUUCAGUUUUUCUUUGGAACAGGUGUAUUGUAUAUUAACUCUUUGUGUGUACUCUCAAAUGGCAGCAAACUUAUAUCGUACUAUCUUUAGAUGAAUGGCGUGAAGCCAGUGUUAAUCAGUUUAAACAUUCAGAGUUUACUUUUUUUCAUUUCCCUACCCACUCCCAAUACAUAGCGAACCUAUUUUUAACUUGAAACUUACUUUGUGCACCGCUCCUAACCUCUUUUGAAACCAAAGACUUAAGAAGGCUUCCUGAAUAGAUCACAGCCUAUUUAACAAGUAGAGUUAGUCCUCCUCCUCUACGGACCACUGAAUAACGCACACACACACACACCAUCCACCCGGUGACCUUGAGAAGCGCCAAACUAAGUUUACCCGGGAGCAGCAGUUAGGAUGGGUGGCACAGUCAGCAAUGUCUACUAGCGUUCCACAGGGAGUUUUUUUUUUUUUAUUAUUGGAAUGCUCCAUUCCAAUACCACUGCGGCCUGGCUAGCAUCUUCAUUGGAGGACCUUUUUUAAAUGUAGGUCAAACAAGCAAACGUGGUAUCCCUCGCUGUAGGAGGAGCCAUCACAUCUAAGUAUAGUCAUUUUUCACGGUUCAUGUUGUGUAUACCCUCUUCAGAAUGAGCUGGUUAUGAUAUGUCUUAAAUUUCAAGUUAAUCGCAGUUGUUACGAUGUAGGGGAAACAUGGACAUCAGUAUUUAACAUAGAUAUUUGUAGGAGUAGAGUAAAUCAGGUGUAUGCAUAGUGAGUCUACAUUUGGUUGAAGUAGUAUAACACUGUAAUUUAUGAAUUCUGAAUUCUAUCGGCUUUGGAGUCCCUACAGAACUAUAUUAUUUAUUAUACUCUCUUUUAAGAGCACUCCAAGUUGUGUAGAUCAUUUGAUAUGCACCAUGCAUAAAACUAGAAGCAUGGCUGUAUAUUUUAAACAUAUACAGCCUUUAGCAGAGUUUUAAACAUAUACAGCCUUUAGAAGGUUUUUAAACAUGCAGCCUUUAAAAGGAUUUUAAACUGUGCUUGGGGUCACAGAUAUGCAGAUUAUUGCAGCUUUUCACAUAAAUAUGCGUUACCGCAAUUGCCGGUUUGCAACCAAAAUCUAGUUAAAUGAUCCAUGCAUGAUCUUUAUGAGUGAAAAGACCAUCAAGCCACAGUUACUGAAAUCUCUUGAUUUUUGGUUCUCACUUGAAAGUAGCUGCAUGUUGUUAAUAAUCCCAAAUCCUCUUCUUUCCACAUUCUCCACGAUUGGCCAUUUGGUUUGGAUUAUGACACCAUUCCUUCCUGUUCCUGAUGUUCCUGUUGCCAG